rnacentral:rRNA from 1 species
UGGGGAAUAUUGCACAAUGGGCGAAAGCCUGAUGCAGCGACGCCGCGUGAGGGAUGACGGCCUUCGGGUUGNAAACCUCUUUCAGCAGGGAAGAAGCGAAAGUACGGUACCUGCAGAGGAAGCGCCGGCUAACUACGUGCCAGCAGCCGCGGUAAUACGUAGGGCGCAAGCGUUGUCCGGAAUUAUUGGGCGUAAAGAGCUCGUAGGCGGUUAGUCGCGUCUGCUGUGAAAAACUCGAGGCUCAACCUCGGGCUUGCAGUGGGUACGGGCUGACUAGAUGCGGUAGGGGUGACUGGAAUUCCUGGUGUGGCGGUGGAAUGCGCAGAUAUCAGGAGGAACACCGAUGGCGAAGGCAGGUCACUGGGCCGCAACUGACGCUGAGGAGC